rnacentral:rRNA from 1 species
CCUACGGGUGGCAGCAGUGGGGAAUAUUGGACGAUGGGGGGAACCCUGAUCCAGCCAUGCCGCGUGUGUGAAGAAGGCCCUCGGGUUGUAAAGCACUUUCAGUGAGGAAGAACGCCUGGUGGUUAAUACCCAUCAGGAAAGACAUCACUCACAGAAGAAGCACCGGCUAACUCCGUGCCAGCAGCCGCGGUAAUACGGAGGGUGCGAGCGUUAAUCGGAAUUACUGGGCGUAAAGCGCGCGUAGGUGGCUUGAUAAGCCGGUUGUGAAAGCCCCGGGCUCAACCUGGGAACGGCAUCCGGAACUGUCAAGCUAGAGUGCAGGAGAGGAAGGUAGAAUUCCCGGUGUAGCGGUGAAAUGCGUAGAGAGCGGGAGGAAUACCAGUGGCGAAGGCGGCCUUCUGGACUGACACUGACACUGAGGUGCGAAAGCGUGGGUAGCAAACAGGAUUAGAUACCCCGGUAGUC